UACGUAGGGGGCAAGCGUUGUCCGGAUUUACUGGGCGUAAAGAGCGUGUAGGCGGCCACGCAGGUCCGUUGUGAAAACUGGAGGCUCAACCUCCAGCUGUCGACGGAAACCGUGUGGCUAGAGUCCGGAAGAGGAGAGUGGAAUUCCCGGUGUAGUGGUGAAAUGCGUAGAUAUCGGGAGGAACACCAGUGGCGAAGGCGAUCACCUGGGGAUGUUCUGACGCUGAGGCGCGAAAGCUAGGGGAGCAAACGGG
rnacentral:rRNA from 1 species